UGUUCAAUUUUUCUGAAAUCGUGCUUAAUUAACAUUAGUUGUUCGGCGCUACGAUGUUGUUCAAAUACGUACAUUACAGAAUCACAUUAUGAUUAAACCAGAAACGGCUCGACUUGAACCAGCAGGUAAGAAUCUGUUUUGAAAUUAUAUCUUGGGAGGUUGGAUUGGAUUGGCGGCCAUUUUGAUUCUUGUUUCAUGAUUUUUUAUAUUAUAAAGAUUUUGCCAAGAGUAGACAUAAACGCGGGCACAGACUAGAAAAAAUCUUUUUACACUUUUGUGUUAGUUGAAUUGUAAUCUAAUUUAUGUUUAAAAAAACAACCUUAAAUCAAAUAAGCAGAUAUUUUCCCCAAACCCUCCGUUCAACCUCUGACUCUGUCACUCUGUGGAAUAUUAUUAGGCCCCUAUUUUCCUGAUUCAGUCACAGUUAAUAAAUAAUAAAUAAUGGAACUAGAAUCAGUCUGUGGAAGUUUCUCUAUAGUUUCAUUAUUUUUUCCAGUCAGUGAUGAUAUGACUCAUUCCACCUUACAGUUACAGCAAUUACCGUAUUGAGAAUUUACCGUUCAAGGACUCCAUUUUGGCAUUGAAUUGGAAUUUGAAGAAAAACUGUUUCAAUAUUGGAUGUAUAUGCAAAUCACCCAGGAAAAGAUCAUGUAACAAAAGAAAUUAUAAAAGUAAAAAAAUGGAAGAAGAAAUGGCUGGAAAAAAUGAUGAUAGAGCAGCUUUUUCUUGUUAGCCACCUCGGAAGAUCAAGACAGCUGGAAAGGGCUAUUGAUAUUGUGGAGGUGUUUUCUUAGAGGUUGCUUAUCAGACAAAGGCUAUUUAACUACGUCAGAAAGAUAAAAACAGUUGGAAAUGGCUAUUCAUAUUGUGGAAACUUUUCUCACAGAGCUUGAUAAUCAGGCAAAAUGCUGGAACACCCUUGAAAGAGUAUUUGAUGUAUGAUAACAACAAGAGAACCCAAGCAUCAAUUUAUUUUAUACUUCUGGGAAAGAAUGCAUUUGACCCAAUUUUUAAAUAUUUAUUUUUUGUUAUUAAUGUUAAAUUUUCUUCCAAAACACAAUUAGAUUUUAAUUCUCUUCAAAUAUGUAUGUAUAAUAUAGCAAGUUAACUGACAUAUAAAU